AGGACGAACGCUGGCGGCGUGCUUAACACAUGCAAGUCGAGCGGAAAGGCCCUUUCGGGGGUACUCGAGCGGCGAACGGGUGAGUAACACGUGAGUAACCUGCCCCAGUCUUUGGGAUAACCCUCGGAAACGGGGGCUAAUACCGGAUAUCUACUUCCUGUCGCAUGGUGGGUGGUGGAAAGUUUUUCGGUCUGGGAUGGGCUCGCGGCCUAUCAGCUUGUUGGUGGGGUGAUGGCCUACCAAGGCGACGACGGGUAG
rnacentral:rRNA from 1 species